rnacentral:SRP_RNA from 1 species
CGGCUGUAACCCGAGUGGGGGGAGUGUGCACGGACUGUGCGUGGAGGGCGUGGGGCCCAGCUUUUCCGGUGCCGAUCCCGCGCCGACUUCAAGGUGGCGGUCGCCAUUGUUGCCCUUCCGGAGGGAGGGGCACCUUGGGCGAUGGUGCAAGGCGUACCGCCUUAGGCUGGAAACAGAGCAAGGAAAAGUCUUCGCCGUCACCAGUGAAGCGACCACGUGGGUGAAU